AUUGAACGCUGGCGGUAGGCCUAACACAUGCAAGUCGAACGGCAGCACAGUAAGAGCUUGCUCUUACGGGUGGCGAGUGGCGGACGGGUGAGGAAUACAUCGGAAUCUACUUUUUCGUGGGUGAUAACGUAGGGAAACUUACGCUAAUACCGCAUACGACCUACGGGUGAAAGCAUGGGAUCUUCGGACCUUGCGCGAUCGAAUGAGCCGAUGUCGGAUUAGCUAGUUGGCGGGGUAAAGGCCCACCAAGGCGACGAUCCGUAGCUGGUCUGAGAGGAUGAUCAGCCACACUGGAACUGAGACACGGUCCAGACUCCUACGGGAGGCAGCAGUGGGGAAUAUUGGACAAUGGGCGCAAGCCUGAUCCAGCCAUGCCGCGUGGGUGAAGAAGGCCUUCGGGUUGUAAAGCCCUUUUGUUGGGAAAGAAAAGCAGCAGGUUAAUACCCCGCUGUUCUGACGGUACCCAAAGAAUAAGCACCGGCUAACUUCGUG
rnacentral:rRNA from 1 species